rnacentral:rRNA from 1 species
ACAGGAUUAGAUACCCUGGUAGUCCACGCCGUAAACGAUGUCGACUUGGAGGCUGUUCCCUUGAGGAGUGGCUUCCGGAGCUAACGCGUUAAGUCGACCGCCUGGGGAGUACGGCCGCAAGGUUAAAACUCAAAUGAAUUGACGGGGGCCCGCACAAGCGGUGGAGCAUGUGGUUUAAUUCGAUGCAACGCGAAGAACCUUACCUGGCCUUGACAUCCAGAGAACUUUCCAGAGAUGGAUUGGUGCCUUCGGGAACUCUGAGACAGGUGCUGCAUGGCUGUCGUCAGCUCGUGUUGUGAAAUGUUGGGUUAAGUCCCGCAACGAGCGCAACCCUUAUCCUUUGUUGCCAGCGAUUCGGUCGGGAACUCAAAGGAGACUGCCGGUGAUAAACCGGAGGAAGGUGGGGAUGACGUCAAGUCAUCAUGGCCCUUACGGCCAGGGCUACACACGUGCUACAAUGGCGCAUACAAAGAGAAGCGACCUCGCGAGAGCAAGCGGACCUCAUAAAGUGCGUCGUAGUCCGGAUCGGAGUCUGCAACUCGACUCCGUGAAGUCGGAAUCGCUAGUAAUCGUGGAUCAGAACGCCACGGUGAAUACGUUCCCGGGCCUUGUACACACCGCCCGUCACACCAUGGGAGUGGGUUGCAAAAGAAGUAGGUAGCUUAACCUUCGGGAGGGCGCUUACCACUUUGUGAUUCAUGACUGGGGUGAAGU